rnacentral:tRNA from 1 species
GCGGGUGUAGUUCAGCGGCAGAACCUCAGCCUUCCAAGCUGAUGACGUGGGUUCGAUUCCCAUCACCCGCUCCA